GAUGAACGCUGACAGAAUGCUUAACACAUGCAAGUCAACUUGAAUUUGGGUUUUUAACUUAGGUUUGGGUGGCGGACGGGUGAGUAACGCGUAAAGAACUUGCCUCACAGCUAGGGACAACAUUUGGAAACGAAUGCUAAUACCUAAUAUUAUGAUAAUAGGGCAUCCUAUAAUUAUGAAAGCUAUAAGCGCUGUGAGAGAGCUUUGCGUCCCAUUAGCUAGUUGGAGAGGUAACGGCUCACCAAGGCGAUGAUGGGUAGCCGGCCUGAGAGGGUGAUCGGCCACAAGGGGACUGAGACACGGCCCUUACUCCUACGGGAGGCAGCAGUGGGGAAUAUUGGACAAUGGACCGAGAGUCUGAUCCAGCAAUCCUGUGUGCACGAUGAAGUUUUUCGGAAUGUAAAGUGCUUUCAGUUGGGAAGAAACAAAUGACGGUACCAACAGAAGAAGUGACGGCUAAAUACGUG
rnacentral:rRNA from 1 species